GAGAGAAACAUUUCAUUUUUUUUCUCAUCUCUCUUAACGCCGCUUCUUCUUCUCUUCCGUGUGUUAUUUCUGAGAGGAAAAAAGAACUCUCUACUUCUCUUCUCCAACCCUGAAUCUUCAUCUUUAAAGAAUUAAUUAAUGAUAAACUUUUUAGGUUUCUCUCCAUCUGUACAACAAAAAGGGUAUAACUCGUUCUCCAUCUUUAAAGCAAAAUGGGGUUUGUUAUUGAGCUCUGUCUCCUUCUCUUGGUGGUGGGUAUGCUGGUCGUGGAGCUGGUGGUGCAAAAGAAUACUACAAAGAAUUGAAUUAAAGGGUGCUUACAAGUACCAUUCUGACUUAUGGAGGAAGAAACAAUCCGGCAUGAUGAUGUUUUUGCAGAGGGUGAGGUGCUGGGAGUAUCGCCAACAUCCUUCGAUUUGCCGUCUUGCGCGUCCUGAUAAUGCUAGAUGUUCGGCCAAGAAGGUAAUCAGAAGUCUUAAAUCUUGGCCUUUUUUUUGCAGUUUUCUGUGAAUUUGAUAUGUUAAAGCUAAUUGAAUCCUGAUUUUCAUCUUGGUGUCACGUUAAAUUUCAAUUUACUUUGGAAUAAGUUUAUUCAUUGAUUACAUUUUUUCAUUUUAUGGUUUUUAUGAAGUCUUAAGUGGAUAAAUUGCCACAUGCUCUGUUUAUUUGAAUGGUGUUAGGUAUUUGUUCGUAUAAUGAUGAUCAAAGACUUCAAAAAUGUUGAACUAACGAGUUAUUACUUAUAAGUUAUAUAUCAAACUAAGAUGCCUAGACAAGUUUGAGUGAGAGUCGUUGUCGGGUUAUGGUUGAUUUUAUAAUGCAGAUUGUGUGGACUACUUUGCGCAACAUGGAAGUCCAGCUUAUGCAAUUACAUACAUUUUUUUCUGACUAAUUAUAAUUCUCUAACCAUAUACAAGUUCUCAAUGAUGCCUUCUUUAAAUAUGAGACCAAGCCUAAGCUUACUAGUCAUGGCGAGCUCUAUCAUAAAGUGAAGGUGUUUGAUGUAUAAAUUAUGCCAAUUCUUUGAUUCAUUUGCUCGAGCUCAUAGAAACCAACCUACUAGUUGUACUCUGCCAUUUUUUGUCGUGAAUACAGGUGACAAAGUGAGAAUCAGAUGCUGGUCGAGACAAGCUCUUAGGGAUGAUUUGCUUUCGGUUUGACCAAUUCUCAAGGAUAAUUCACUAUCCUCUUUUAUUGAUGUGUGGUUCUUUCGGGCGAUUGGCUGUAGCAAUCAUGGAGACAGAAGUUGAUGAAUGAUCCUAGUUAUACUCAGGAGAAAACAUGCUUAUGGUGGGCCAGUAAACUGUUGUAAAUGGUGUUGAUAGAAUAUGGAAUGACAUGAAUGAACCAAUAGUAUUCGAAGUAAAGCUCAUAGAUCAUCAUCAGUACGUAAUUAUAUGAAUGAAUUCAAGUUGUAUUUCUUGCAACCUGUAGACUAUUACAAAGACAAUGCCAAACAGUAACAUUCACAGAGAAGAUGCUCAAGUUGGUGGGAAUCAUAGUCAUUGGCAUUACAACAAUUUAGUUUACUUAUUUUUCUCUAGUUAUGAAGCUUUUAGUAUAUGAAUACUUUUUAUUUUCUUUCUGAUCACCAUGAAGUAAAGUCUGCUUAGUGUAAAGAAGUAUGUUGCUCCCCUCUGUUGAGGGGAUACCUUUGUAUUCAUCAUAUUUAUACACUUUUGUGUUUAUUUUAGUUUGGGAUAGUACUUAAAGUUACUGGAUUGUGCAGAUUCAAAAGAUGUUUCCACGGGCGCUAGCUGAAUCUGAAGUGAUGACUGCAGAGAAUAGAAAGUAACUUUGGAUGGCUCCUGAGAUCGACCCGCAGGUGGAAAAUGUUUAUUAUUUGGUCGCAACAGGAGGAAGAAAACUUCCAUGGGUGUAUAAAUGUCUAAGGAGAGCAGGACGUUGUUGGUAUAUAUUGCACUCUGUUAUUGAAGUUCAAUGAUCACACUCCCUCUUCAUAGGUGCAACUGUAAAUGUUUUUUAGUUUUUUAGUAUUUACAAUUUCUCGCUGCUGAUUCAUGCUUCGUUUGAUUCGGUUUGGUUUUGUUGUGCAGCUGAGUACAAGUGAUUGAAUGAGUAUGGAAAUGGAUAACCACUUGAUGAACACCAAUAGUGAUUCCAUGAACACCUAGAUCAUGAUGCAAUCCUCGGAGAUCUUUUUAAGCUCUCCAAUACAUUGAAAGAAAAGAUAGAGGUUAUGUACUUUGUGCUGAUGAUGAUGUGUGUAGGGAAGGUCUACUUGGUGCAGGUGGAUUCCUCAAAGAUCUACAGUGAUUUUUCUGCACACCCGGGUGUUUGCGAAAUCUGCUAAGGUUUAAGCUUUAUGUUCUACUUGCCGUGCAGUUUGUGUAUUCACAAUGAUCCACUUAAGCAUUUCAAUACUUUGGCUUAUAUUGGUAAAUGCCGAGGAUAACUUGGAUUCUUAGAACGAUAAUGAGAUAGAGCUGUUUGUUGUCAUGAAUUUACUUGUUGUGCUAUUAUUCAAAUUUCAUCAUAGUAUAUUCACUUUGCUUUUAUAAUUAAGUGAUGUUGGCACAUUUUAUUUG